AUUGAACGCUGGCGGCAGGCCUAACACAUGCAAGUCGAACGAAUGGCGGACGGGUGAGUAAUGUCUGAGAAACUGCCUGAUGGAGGGAGAUAACUACUGGAAACGGUAGCUAAUACCGCUUACAGUCAGAUGUGCCCAGAUGGGAUUAGCUUGUUGGUGGGGUAACGGCUUACCAAGGCGACGAGCCCUAGCUUGGCUGAGAGGAUGACCAGCCACACUGGAACUGAGACACGGUCCAGACUCCUACGGGAGGCAGCAGUGGGGAAUCUUGCACAAUGGGCGCAAGCCUGAUGCAGCCAUGGCGCGUGUAUGAAGAAGGCUUUCGGGUUGUAAAGUACUGUCAGCGGGGAGGCGGGACCCGCAGAAGAAGCACCGGCUAACUACGUGCCAGCAGCCGCGGUAAUAC
rnacentral:rRNA from 1 species